rnacentral:rRNA from 1 species
AACGAACGCUGGCGGCAGGCCUAACACAUGCAAGUCGAACGCAUCGCAAGAUGAGUGGCGCACGGGUGAGUAACACGUGGGAAUGUACCCUUUGGUUCGGAAUAACGUUUGGAAACGAACGCUAAUACCGGAUGAGCCCUCCGGGGGGAAAGAUUUAUCGCCGAAGGAUCGGCCCGCGUUGGAUUAGGUAGUUGGUGUGGUAAAGGCGCACCAAGCCUACGAUCCAUAGCUGGUCUGAGAGGAUGAUCAGCCAUACUGGGACUGAGACACGGCCCAGACUCCUACGGGAGGCAGCAGUGGGGAAUCUUGCGCAAUGGGCGAAAGCCUGACGCAGCCAUGCCGCGUGAAUGAUGAAGGUCUUAGGAUUGUAAAAUUCUUUUACCAGGGACGAUAAUGACGGUACCUGGAGAAAAAGCCCCGGCUAACUUCGUGCCAGCAGCCGCCGUAA